rnacentral:misc_RNA from 1 species
GUAGGUGAACCUGCGGAAGGAUCAUUAACACGUAUCCAACGUUAAACCCCCCCGUGAAUAUUAAUCGUGCUCUUGCUGCCCGGGAGGCCAGCAAUCCCUGGUAAAUCAAGUCGAACAGCUUUGAUUCAGGGACUUCUGCCCGACUGAGAAGAAUAACAGCGGCAAUCGAGCGCUGGGCAAGUGGUUUGGUUUCCCCUCAAAUUCACUUCAAUGAAUGCCAGUGUCAUUGAAGUGUGAUGGGGAGAACGCU